AGUUAACGCUGGCGGCGUGCCUAACACAUGCAAGUCGAGCGAAGUAACUGGCGUAGCAAUACGAUAAGUGCUGAGCGGCAGACGGGUGAGUAAUACGUAGACAACCUUCCUCUUUAAGGGGGGAUAGCCCACCGAAAGGUGGGGUAAUACCGCGUACGAUCGAGAGUCGGCAUCGAUUCUUGAUGAAACAUCCGCAAGGAUGGUAGAGAGACGGGUCUACGGCCUAUCAGCUAGUUGGUGAGGUAACGGCUCACCAAGGCAAAGACGGGUAACCGGCCUGAAAGGGUGGACGGUCACACUGACACUGAGACACGGGUCAGACACCUACGGGUGGCAGCAGUGAGGAAUCUUGGACAAUGGGGGCAACCCUGAUCCAGCGACGCCGCGUGAAGGAUGAAGGUCUUCGGAUUGUAAACUUCUUUUCUCUGGGAAUAAUAAAUCGAUAGAAAUAUCGAGAUUGAAUGUACCAGAGGAAUAAGCCACGGCUAACUUCGUGCC
rnacentral:rRNA from 1 species